ensembl:lncRNA
CUCAGGCACAGUGAUGCUGACAAUGUGGAGUGUGAUCCUGGAGAAGAACUCUCCAUUUUUCUCCAAAAGGCAGGAAUCUGUUAGUUGUGAUCCCUCAAGAUCUUCAUGGCCAAUGAUCCCACUAAUUCCUGAUUUUGUUUCCUCCCUACCAGGUGUGUUUGUGAGAUGAACAAAAACCCUUUGGGCUUGGAGUCAGAGUUUGCUGGACUCAAGACUAAUCCCACCAGUUUCAAAGAGGACUUGGGAGUUCUUUUUGAGAAGCUUUUCCCACUUUGAGAGGAAAGCUAAUUGUCUGUGGGCUGCAUCCAAAGGAGAGUGGGCAGGAUGGUGAGGGAGAGGUUUUUCUGCUCUGGUGAGAUCCCACUGGAAAUGCUGUGUCCAGUUUUGGUGUCCCCAACGUAAGAAGGACAUGGAAUUGUUGGAGCAAGUCCAGAGGAGGCCAUGAAAUUGAUUAGAGGAGCCCCUCCCCUAUGGAGCCAGUCUGGGAAGGUUGGGAAUGUUCAGACUGGAGGAGAGGAGGUUGGGAAUAAUCAGCCUGAAGACCUCAGAGCCCCUGCAGGAUCUGCAGGAGCUCCAGGGAAGCUGGAGAAGAACUUUUCCUCAGGAAUGGCAGGGACAGGACACAGGGAAUGGGGUCAGGAUGAAAGAGGGGAAAAUUAUGUUGGAUAUAGGAAAGAUCUGUUGAUGAGCACCUGCUCCAGCACAGGAGGCUGGAGAGCAUUUCCCAACAGAACGUUUUGGAUGUUUUACUUAUUUUUUUGGGAAGCAAACUGACAAAGGAGAAUAGAGCCUCACAAACCAGUUCUGUCCGUGCACAGAAAUCUUUAUUUCCCAUCACAUUCAUGGCACAGAGGAGCCACCUGGGAGUUCACAGCACAGAGAUGCAGCACCAAGGGAACACAAGGGACGUGGAUGUGCUGGGGAAAAACUUGGAGGGCAAAGACUUGGCCGUUCCUGAUGGGAACCGGAGCUGCCCAGGGCUCUUACUUCUGCUGGCAGGGCCAGCUGGAGCUCUGCUUGGUCUGGUGGGACACCACGCUGGGGAUGACAACGGGACAUUUCUGCUGCGAGGAGCUUCCGCCGCCACCUCCAGAGCUGAUGAUGAUGGUCUGGCCCGAGGAGCCACCACUGGAUCCGCCACCGCAGCAUCCAGAGGAUCCACCGCCGCCUCCCCCUCCCAUGAUGAUCUUCCCUCCUGAAGAGCCACCACCGGAUCCUCCUCCACAGCAUCCAGAGGAGCCUCCUCCUCCUCCUCCACCACCAGAGCUGAUGAUGAUCUUCUGGGCUGAUCCCCCACUGCCACCGCCGGAUCCUCCACCACAGCACCCACCACCUCCACCGCCUCCACCUCCCAUCAUGCUCUUUGAGGAGCCACCACCAGAUCCUCCACCGCAGCAGGAUCCGCCUCCUCCCCCGCCGGAGGAGCCCUGGGACUGUUGGCUGCCCCGGCAGCAGCAGCAGCAGCCACAGCCGUGGCACCCGCUUUGUCUGGAGCACAUCUUGGAGCAGUGACCCUGCAAGGAAAAGCUUUUUACUCCAGGGCAGCCACCAGUUCUCUCGAGGCUUGUGACCCCACUCCAGCCCAACGCCACUUGGUAGUGGCCAGGAUCAUAUUUUAAAGAUUUUUAUCCUAAAGUUGUCCCAUCUCCUUAUUCCGAAGACAUUCCACCUCCAUCUCAAUGCUGAUGAGAGACAACCUUCAGCAGCACAGGCUGAUCCUGCUUCUGUUUGGUCUGGUGGGACCAAGGCAUUCACAAGAGAUUUAAAUUCACCCCAGCAACUUCCCUGCUCUUCCAGAUGUUUUUCACCAAAACUUUUGCAUUUUGGAAGCAGGAAAGGAAGAGAAGGAUCCCUCCAUUGGGCAGGCAUGGACUUACCCUUCUCGGCUCUGACCACGGACACCUCAGGGAAAAGCUGAGCGAAUGAAGCACCCCGAGAUCCACCAACUUUUAUACUGCUUUUCCUGAGUGGGAAGUGAGGCAUCCAAAGGAAUGGUGAUAGGUUUAUUUACCAAACAGAUUCUCCUCCUCCAUCCCACUUGUCCUGACUCACUGGGAUGCGGACAAUGCCUCUCCCGUGCAUCACUUCCUCGGCUGCCCUGCAUCCAUGGCAGGUCCCACACGUGAGCUCGGCUCCUGUGGUUGAAUUCCCAAGGUUGAAUUCCUUCUGGGGCUCCGGAAGGAUUCUGGAAGUUGCCACCCUGCACUCCAGCCGGGAGAUGCCGCUGGUGACUGACACCAGAAAGGGGCUGGGGAGCUUCAUUUUAUUGGGUGUUACACACUGGAGGAACAGGGGGGAUUUAUGGGGUGUCUGUGUAAGGCUGGGAAUUGAAUUCUGAUGAUCUUUGGGGGUCCCUUUAACCUCAGGAUAUUCUGUGAUUCCACAGUGGAGAUUCCCAGGGGAACAGGGGUGGGACUGGAAUUUCUGGGGCACCACAGGAAUCCCUCGUGGCUGUGGGAGAUUUCCCACCACAGCAGGGAAAGGUUGAUGGGGAUUUUUGUUUGGAUCUCCCACUCAGGAGAGACCAGAGGUCAGGCAGGCCCCACCACAUCAAGUGAUGGAGAUGGAGGGGUACCAGAUCCAUCAUCCCCCCUGUAAAGCAGCAUCUCCAUGGAUAUGGACCAAAAGGAUGAAUUUCUGCUCAUUUUGGGCAUAACUCUGUCGUUUCUGAAGAAGGAACAAGAUUUGAGGCUGUGCUGUGCCUCCUGCUGUCACUCUGAGAAUUUCUGUCAUUUGGAUCCUGGUUUUCUUGAUCCUGAGCCAUUUCUGGGUGCAGAAAUUUCUGACAGCACCAUUCCCACCCCCCUGAUGUGGGACCCCAAACUCUGGCUUUGCUCUGUGCCAGCAAUGUCACUGUUUGUGCAGUUCCAAGCCACUGGGAUUUUACCCCCAAUGACUUCCCAUAAUAAAAUCCCAGGAAACUCAGCUAUUCCA